rnacentral:rRNA from 1 species
AGAGUUUGAUCAUGGCUCAGAACGAACGCUGGCGGCAGGCCUAACACAUGCAAGUCGAACGAAGCCUUCGGGCUUAGUAGCGGACGGGUGAGUAACGCGUGGGAACGUGCCCUUUGGUUCGGAAUAGCCCCGGGAAACUGGGAGUAAUACCGGAUAAGCCCUACGGGGGAAAGAUUUAUCGCCAAAGGAUCGGCCCGCGUUGGAUUAGGUAGUUGGUGGGGUAAUGGCCUACCAAGCCGACGAUCCAUAGCUGGUUUGAGAGGAUGAUCAGCCACACUGGGACUGAGACACGGCCCAGACUCCUACGGGAGGCAGCAGUGGGGAAUCUUAGACAAUGGGGGAAACCCUGAUCUAGCCAUGCCGCGUGUAUGAAGAAGGCCUUCGGGUUGUAAAGUACUUUCAGCGGGGAGGAAGGCGAUAAGGUUAAUAACCUUGUCGAUUGACGUUACCCGCAGAAGAAGCACCGGCUAACUCCGUGCCAGCAGC